rnacentral:rRNA from 1 species
GAUGAACGCUGGCGGCGUGCCUAAUACAUGCAAGUCGAGCGAACAGACGAGGAGCUUGCUCCUCUGACGUUAGCGGCGGACGGGUGAGUAACACGUGGAUAACCUACCUAUAAGACUGGGAUAACUUCGGGAAACCGGAGCUAAUACCGGAUAAUAUAUUUAACCGCAUGGUUCAAUAGUGAAAGACGGUUUUGCUGUCACUUAUAGAUGGAUCCGCGCCGCAUUAGCUAGUUGGUAAGGUAACGGCUUACCAAGGCAACGAUGCGUAGCCGACCUGAGAGGGUGAUCGGCCACACUGGAACGGAGACACGGUCCAGACUCCUACGGGAGGCAGCAGUAGGGAAUCUUCCGCAAUGGGCGAAAGCCUGACGGAGCAACGCCGCGUGAGUGAUGAAGGUCUUCGGAUCGUAAAACUCUGUUAUUAGGGAAGAACAAAUGUGUAAGUAACUAUGCACGUCUUGACGGUACCUAAUCAGAAAGCCACGGCUAACUACGUG